rnacentral:rRNA from 1 species
UAAUUGAAGAGUUUGAUCAUGGCUCAGAUUGAACGCUGGCGGCAGGCCUAACACAUGCAAGUCGAGCGGUAACAGAGAGAAGCUUGCUUCUCUGCUGACGAGCGGCGGACGGGUGAGUAAUGCCUGGGAAAUUGCCCUGAUGUGGGGGAUAACCAUUGGAAACGAUGGCUAAUACCGCAUGAUGCCCUUGCUUAUAAUGAGCGGGGGCCAAAGAGGGGGACCUUCGGGCCUCUCGCGUCAGGAUAUGCCUAGGUGGGAUUAGCUAGUUGGUGAGGUAAGGGCUCACCAAGGCGACGAUCCCUAGCUGGUCUGAGAGGAUGAUCAGCCACACUG